rnacentral:ncRNA from 2 species
GAAUUUAAUAGCGAAUAAUGUCGUAUAAGAUUGGGGAUAUGGCCCAAUAGUUUCUACCAAGCCGCCGUAAAGGGUUUGACUACGAGGUAAGUGUUCAGCGGA